CUGGUCACAGGGGUCUGGGAAAGACAGAGGCUUUGUUAGAGCCGGCAGCUGAGGGCCGAGGCCGAGCAGGGGUUAGGCCAGCACAGGACGAAAAGGAAGAAAGUUCCAGGUGGAGUCUGGUGGAGAAAGACCGACCUGGAAGGCACCAGCAUGUGCACGUGGCAACUGAGGUCGAGGACGUGCCUGAGAGAGAGGAGGAAGGUGCCCUGCGGACCGGGUAGGGUGCGGAGGUCGGGAAUGGAGAACGGUCGUUGGGCAGGUCCGGGUACCCGUAGCCAGAACCACCCGGGUGUGCGCAGCUCGGCCAGGCCCCGCCUCCCGGCGUCCCCGCCCCCUGCUGGGCCUCUCUCCGCAGCCGCGAGACCCGCGCUUGGCGCAUAGGCCGGUUCUAAUUUACAAGAACACCGCGGCCUGAGGCCGGAGAGUCCCUUCAACCCGGGAGGCGGCGGCUGCAGGGAGCCGAGACGGCGCCAUUGCCCUCCAGCCUGGGCAAAAAGAGCGAAACUCCGUCUCAAAAAAAAAAAAACAUGGCCGAAACCAGGAAGCUGCGCGAUGGCGCCACGGCCCCUCUUCUCCCGGCCUGUGUCCGGAAGGUUUCCCUCCGAGGCGCCCCGGCUCCCGCAAGCGGAGGAGAGGGCGGGACGUGCCGGGGCCGGAGCUCAGAGGCCCUGGGGCCGCUCUGCUCUCCCGCCAUCGCAAGGGCGGCGCUGACCUGAGGCCUCCCCGCAAAGGUCCCCGAGGCGGCGGCGGCGGCGGGCUGUGAGAACCGCAGAAGAACGCUGGGCGCGCAGCGACCCGUCCACCCCCGCGAGGAGAGACUUCCACAGAGGCAGCGUUUCCACAGCCCAAAGCCACGUUUCUAGGGUGAUGCAGCCCCAGUAAGUUCCUGGCGGGGAAGCUCACGGCUGUCAAAAGAACUCUUCGCUCCAGCCGGCGCACGAAGGGGAGGAGGGCAGGAGGCUGCCGCCCGCACAGGUCAUCUGAUCACGUCGCCCGCCCUAGUCUGCUUUUGUGAAUCUCCACUUUGUUCAACCCCCACCCGCCGUCUCUCCCUCCCUGCGCCUUCCCUCUAACCUUAAAGACCCAGCUACCUCUACGCAAAUGGUAGCUACCUCUGCGCAGGUGGAAGUUGAGUUCGGUUCACGCGGGACCCUCUUCCCUGUGGCAAGCUGCUGAAGGAGACCUGCUGUUACUGCUUUAGCUGCUGUUCUGCUUAAUCUCAGACAGCUGGAAGAAGGUUGCUCCGGAUCUCGCCAUCUGGCCUGCGUUCAAUCAGCAGAAGCUUCCUGGAGGAGCAGGAGGAGGCACUGUGCUCGCAUCACAUACCAGUGGCCAGAAGUUGGCUUCAGGGAAGCUCAGGAAAUAGGAUGCGAGAAGCCAUGAGACCUCCCCAAACUCUGCAGUAACAGAGUCAACAAGACAAUGGCUUAAAGAUGGAGAGACCAGUUGAUCGGUCACACAAGCUGUUCCACGAUAAUUCUUGUGUCAGAAGGGGAGGCUGACUACCAGGACCACUGGCCCCACUUCCAGCCCCUCCAUUCUGAGUACACUUCAGAGGGCUCUGGCAGGCACGUGCCCAGCUUCCUUUCAAGUCUCUGGCCAAUGCAAUGUGAGCAGAAGUGAAGGGGCAACUUUCAGGUGAUGACUUGGAAAAGAAAGCUUAGUCCUCUGCUUCUCCUGUCACCCGAAAGAGAAACAGAGGCUUGUCUUGUUGAAGCCAGUGUGUUUGGUGUCUUUUUGUAUAGUGGCUUAGACAGUGGCCUAACUAGAAGACCAAGGCUCAAAGGAACACAUUUUGAGCUUCUCCACAGUUUGAGAACCUCUACAUUACCUACACCAAGCCUUCCCCAGCACUCAAUUUAUGGAAGACCAUUUCUCUUCUCAUGACACAUGUCCUCAUGUUGCUUUGGCCUGUUUUAAAGCUUUCUCAACUCCAUCUCAAUAAAGAAAUCUGCAG
rnacentral:lncRNA from 1 species